rnacentral:rRNA from 1 species
UACAGAGGGUGCAAGCGUUAAUCGGAAUUACUGGGCGUAAAGCGCGCGUAGGUGGUUUGUUAAGUUGGACGUGAAAUCCCCGGGCUCAACCUGGGAACUGCAUCCAAAACUGGCAAGCUAGAGUACGGUAGAGGGUGGUGGAAUUUCCUGUGUAGCGGUGAAAUGCGUAGAUAUAGGAAGGAACACCAGUGGCGAAGGCGACCACCUGGACUGAUACUGACACUGAGGUGCGAAAGCGUGGGGAGCGAACAGG